AGUGAACGCUGGCGGUAGGCCUAACACAUGCAAGUCGAACGGCAGCACAGUAAGAGCUUGCUCUUACGGGUGGCGAGUGGCGGACGAGUGAGGAAUACAUCGGAAUCUACUUUUUCGUGGGGGAUAACGUAGGGAAACUUACGCUAAUACCGCAUACGACCUACGGGUGAAAGCAGGGGAUCUUCGGACCUUGCGCGAUUGAAUGAGCCGAUGUCGGAUUAGCUAGUUGGCGGGGUAAAGGCCCACCAAGGCGACGAUCCGUAGCUGGUCUGAGAGGAUGAUCAGCCACACUGGAACUGAGACACGGUCCAGACUCCUACGGGAGGCAGCAGUGGGGAAUAUUGGACAAUGGGCGCAAGCCUGAACCAGCCAUACCGCGUGGGUGAAGAAGGCCUUCGGGUUGUAAAGCCCUUUUGUUGGGAAAGAAAAGCAGCAGGUUAAUACCCCGCUGUUCUGACGGUACCCAAAGAAUAAGCACCGGCUAACUUCGUG
rnacentral:rRNA from 1 species